CUCUAGAGCUAAUACAUGCCACGAUGCCCUGACCUGUGCUUUGCAUAGGGAUGGGUGCACUUAUUAGAUCAGAAACCUACCGAGUCUUGGCCUGCUUAACUGUGGGUCUUGGCUUGUUGUCGUUCUGGUGACUCUGGAUAAUUGUUACAGAUCGCAGUCGGCCUUGCGUCGGCGACGGGUCCUUCAAAUGUCUGCCCUAUCAACUUUCGAUGGUAGGUGAUCUGCCUACCAUGGUGAUAACGGGUAACGGGGAAUCAGGGUUCGAUUCCGGAGAGGGAGCCUGAGAAACGGCUACCACUUCCAAGGGAGGCAGCAGGCGCGCAAAUUACCCACUCCCGGUACGGGGAGGUGGUGACGAAAAAUACCGAUGCGGGACUCUUUAAGAGGCUCCGUAAUCGGAAUGAGUGAACUCUAAAUCCUUUCACGAGGAUCAAUUGGAGGGCAAGUCUGGUGCCAGCAGCCGCGGUAACUCCAGCUCCAAUAGCGUAUAUUAAAGUUGCUGCAGUUAAAAAGCUCGUAGUUGGAUCUCGGUAUCACAGUUGCCUGCCAUUGCUUGGCCAGCUGAGUGCUGGGUGAUGUGGCUGAGUGCCGUGUUGCCUUGGUGCUCGACUGUUGUCGAGUUGGUGUGGUAGCGGUGCCACCUUCUAGCCAUGUCUGUGGUGAAAUACCCACAGGUGUAAGCGAGUGUCAGGCGGUGCUCUGCAGCUGUAGGGUCCGUCGGCUCGUUUGCAUGCCUUUGGAUGCCCUUUAAAAGGUGUCUGUGGGCGGAUGGCACGUUUACUUUGAACAAAUUUGAGUGCUCAAAUCAGGCCUUUGUAGCCUGAAAAGUUUUGCAUGGAAUAAUGGAAUAGGACUUCGGUUCUAUUUUGUUGGUUUUCGGAUCCGAAGUAAUGAUCAAAAGAGACAGGCGGGGACGUUUGUAUGGUUGCGCUAGAGGUGAAAUUCAUGGACCGUAACCAGACAGACUAAAGCGAAAGCAUUCGUCAAGCAUGUUUUCAUUGGCCAUGAGCGAAAGUCAGAGGCUCGAAGACGAUCAGAUACCGUCCUAGUUCUGACCAUAAACGAUGCCAACUGACGAUCCGUGGUGGUAGUUUAAUAACCGUCCCCACGGGCAGCCUCCGGGAAACCUUUAAGUCUAUGGGUUCCGGGGGAAGUAUGGUUGCAAAGCUGAAACUUAAAGGAAUUGACGGAAGGGCACCACCAGGAGUGGAGCCUGCGGCUUAAUUUGACUCAACACGGGAAAACUCACCCGGGCCGGACACUGUGAGGAUUGACAGAUUGACAGCUCUUUCUUGAUUUGGUGGUUGGUGGUGCAUGGCCGUUCUUAGUUGGUGGAGCGAUUUGUCUGGUUAAUUCCGAUAACGAACGAGACUCUGGCCUGCUAAUUAGUGCGCCUGUCCUCUGUUCCUGUGUAGGCGGCUUUUGGCGCUACUGCCUUUGUAUACGACGCUGUUCGUGCUGUUGCCUAGGUAGACCAUCUGCCGGCAUGGCGGUGCUGUUGUUACUGUCGACGUUGCCUGUGGCCCUCGGGUCGCAAGCUCGUUGGCGAAGAUGACGGCUGCUGCUGAGCUGAAACAGCGGGUGGUUAGCUUGGGUUGACUGGUGCGGCGGUUGAGUUUAGGCGGUGGAGUCGGGGUUUGCUUCCGGGUACGGCGCAGGUGUCUACUUCUUAGAGGGACAAGCAUAUACAAAUGCACGAGAUUGAGCAAUAACAGGUCUGUGAUGCCCUUAGAUGUCCGGGGCCGCACGCGCGCUACAAUGACGGUGCCAACGAGUCUGACCUCCUGGCCCGAAAGGGUUGGGCAAACUGGUCAAUCACCGUCAUGUCAGGGAUCGGGGCUUGGAAUUGUUCCCCGUGAACCAGGAAUUCCUAGUAAGUGCAAGUCAUAAGCUUGCGCUGAUUACGUCCCUGCCCUUUGUACACACCGCCCGUCGCUACUACCGAUUGAAUGGUUUAGUAAGGUCCUUGGAUCGGUGCCAUUGUAGCGGCCUCCGCAAG
rnacentral:rRNA from 1 species